rnacentral:rRNA from 1 species
GAUGAACGCUGACAGAAUGCUUAACACAUGCAAGUCAACUUGAAUUUGGGUUUUUAACUUCGGUUUGGGUGGCGGACGGGUGAGUAACGCGUAAAGAACUUGCCUCACAGCUAGGGACAACAUUUGGAAACGAAUGCUAAUACCUAAUAUUAUGAUAAUAGGGCAUCCUAUAAUUAUGAAAGCUAUAAGCGCUGUGAGAGAGCUUUGCGUCCCAUUAGCUAGUUGGAGAGGUAACGGCUCACCAAGGCGAUGAUGGGUAGCCGGCCUGAGAGGGUGAUCGGCCACAAGGGGACUGAGACACGGCCCUUACUCCUACGGGAGGCAGCAGUGGGGAAUAUUGGACAAUGGACCAAGAGUCUGAUCCAGCAAUUCUGUGUGCACGAUGAGGUUUUUCGGAAUGUAAAGUGCUUUCAGUUGGGAAGAAAGAAAUGACGGUACCAACAGAAGAAGUGACGGCUAAAUACGUG